UAUUAUUUUAGCGGCGGACGGGUGAGUAACGUGUGGGUAACCUGCCUUUUACUGGGGAAUAAUCACUGGAAACGGUGACUAAUACCGCAUACGGUUCUUGGAAGGCAUCUUCUAGGAAAGAAAGGAUUUAUUCGGUAAAAGAUGGGCCCGCAUCUGAUUAGCUAGUUGGUGAGAUAACAGCCCACCAAGGCGACGAUCAGUAGCCGACCCGAGAGGGUGACCGGCCACAUUGGGACUGAGACACGGCCCAAACUCCUACGGAAGGCAGCAG
rnacentral:rRNA from 1 species